rnacentral:rRNA from 1 species
GACGAACGCUGGCGGCGUGCUUAACACAUGCAAGUCGAACGGAAAGGCCCCUUUGGGGGUACUCGAGUGGCGAACGGGUGAGUAACACGUGAGUAACCUGCCCUUGACUUCGGUAUAACUUCAGGAAACUGGGGCUAAUACCGGAUAGGAAUCCUUGCUGCAUGGUGGGGGUUGGAAAGCUUCGGCGGUUUUGGAUGGACUCGCGGCUUAUCAGCUUGUUGGUGGGGUAGUGGCUUACCAAGGCUUUGACGGGUAGCCGGCCUGAGGGGGCGACCGGCCACAUUGGGACUGAGAUACGGCCCAGAAUCCUACGGGAGGCAGCAGUGGGGAAUAUUGCACAAUGGGCGGAAGGCUGAUGCAGCAACGCCGCGUGCGGGAUGACGGCCUUCGGGUUGUAAACCGCUUUCAGCAGGGGAGAAGCUUGUGGUGACGGUACCUGCAGAAGAAGCACCGGCUAACUACGUG